rnacentral:rRNA from 1 species
AAACUUAAAGGAAUUGACGGGGCCCGCACAAGCGGUGGAGUAUGUGGUUUAAUUCGAUGCAACGCGAAGAACCUUACCUGGUCUUGACAUCCCGGAGACCCUUAGGAAACUAGGGGGUGCUUCCAUCUGGAAGAAUCUGGAGACAGGUGCUGCAUGGCUGUCGUCAGCUCGUGUCGUGAGAUGUUGGGUUAAGUCCCGCAACGAGCGCAACCCUUGCCUUUAGUUGCCAGCAGUUCGGCUGGGCACUCUAAAGGGACUGCCGGUGUUAAACCGGAGGAAGGUGGGGAUGACGUCAAGUCCUCAUGGCCUUUAUGACCAGGGCUACACACGUACUACAAUGGCCGAUACAAAGGGCAGCGACACUGCGAGGUGAAGCCAAUCCCGUAAAAUCGGUCUCAGUCCGGAUUGGAGCCUGCAACUCGACUCCAUGAAGUUGGAAUCGCUAGUAAUCGUGGAUCAGCAUGCCACGGUGAAUACGUUCCCGGGCCUU